rnacentral:misc_RNA from 1 species
UCCCAUUCGACACGGGCAGUCCGACUAGAGUGCCCUCUUUCGAGGUUGCAACUAGCCGCAAGGGUUUCGCUCGUUACGGGACUUAACCCAACAUCUCACGACACGAGCUGACGACAGCCAUGCAACACCUGAUGAAGGCUCUUCUUUCGAAGUCGUUACCGUUUCCGGUUCCUACUACCCUCACUUCAAGCCCGGGUAAGGUUCUUCGCGUUGCAUCGAAUUGAACCACAUGCUCCACCGCUUGUGCGAGCCCCCGUCAAUUCCUUUGAGUUUUAACCUUGCGGCCGUACUCCCCAGGCGGGACACUUAACGCGUUAGCUGCAGCAAAGAAGGGCAAGCCCUCCUUCACUCAGUGUCCAUCGUUUACGGCUGGGACUAC